GAACGCUGUCGGCUGGCUCAGAACCAACGCUGGCGGCCCCACUCCUACGGGAGGCAGCAUUGGGACCCCCUCCUACGGGAGGCAGCAGUGGGACUCCUACGGGAGGCAGCACUGGGGCAGUUGGCUCACAACGAACACUGGCGGCUGGCUCAGAACUAACACUGGCAGCCCCACUCCUACGGGAGGCAGCACUGGGACUCCUACUGGAGGCACCACUGGGACUCCUACUGGAGGCACCACUGGGACUCCUACGGGAGGCAGCACUGGG
rnacentral:misc_RNA from 1 species